AUUAAAAUUGGAAACUGUGAAAAAUUCUCUUUAUUUGGGCACCUGGGGAAUUUGGAGUUAGUGGUGCAACCGGCCAAUAAUGAG
rfam:Clostridium sp. Maddingley MBC34-26 contig_216_3, whole genome shotgun sequence.